rnacentral:rRNA from 1 species
UACGUAGGGUGCGAGCGUUGUCCGGAUUUAUUGGGCGUAAAGAGCUCGUAGGCGGUUUGUCGCGUCGGCCGUGAAAUCUCCACGCUUAACGUGGAGCGUGCGGUCGAUACGGGCAGACUUGAGUUCGGUAGGGGUGUGGGGAAUUCCUGGUGUAGCGGUGAAAUGCGCAGAUAUCAGGAGGAACACCGGUGGCGAAGGCGCCACUCUGGGCCGAAACUGACGCUGAGGAGCGAAAGCGUGGGUAGCAAACAGG